rnacentral:rRNA from 1 species
UACGAAGGGGGGCUAGCGUUGUUCGGAAUUACUGGGCGUAAAGGGCGCGUAGGCGGUCCUUCAAGUCAGGCGUGAAAGCCCCCGGGCUCAACCUGGGAACCGCGCUUGAGACUGGCGGGCUAGAGUUCGGGAGAGGAUGGUGGAAUUCCCAGUGUAGAGGUGAAAAUUCGUAGAUAUUGGGAAGAACACCGAUGGCGAAGGCAGCCAUCUGGACCGACACUGACGCUGAGGCGCGAAAGCGUGGGGAGCAAACAGG